rnacentral:rRNA from 1 species
UAGGGAAUCUUCCACAAUGGACGCAAGUCUGAUGGAGCAACGCCGCGUGAGUGAAGAAGGUUUUCGGAUCGUAAAGCUCUGUUGUUGGUGAAGAAGGAUAGAGGCAGUAACUGGUCUUUAUUUGACGGUAAUCAACCAGAAAGUCACGGCUAACUACGUGCCAGCAGCCGCGGUAAUACGUAGGUGGCAAGCGUUGUCCGGAUUUAUUGGGCGUAAAGCGAGCGCAGGCGGAAUGAUAAGUCUGAUGUGAAAGCCCACGGCUCAACCGUGGAACUGCAUCGGAAACUGUCAUUGUUGAGUGAAGAAGAGGAGAGUGGAAUUCCAUGUGUAGCGGUGGAAUGCGUAGAUAUAUGGAAGAACACCAGUGGCGAAGGCGGCUCUCUGGUCUGCAACUGACGCUGAGGCUCGAAAGCAUGGGUAGCGAACAGG